CAUAUUCCUCCUAUUCCAUGGAGUUGUCAGUUCAAAACAGUCACAGAAAUUAGCUUAUUUAACAAAAUCUGCCCCCUAAGUUGAUUAACAGGAGCAUUUUACCUUUAAUGUAAAAUUCUUAAAUUUAAUCCAUAAUUUCCAUGAGAAUAACACAUUAUUGGGUUGUUACCAAUCAAAUAAAAUCAAUAUCAACAAAAUCCAUAUUUGCACUGUAGAAGCUGCAUCUGAAGUGGCAUUUAGAUGUAUUCACACAGACUGUUCAGUGCAGCUCAAAGGUAGCACGAAUGCAGUUACAAUUGCAUAAAUAAGCAUGAUUUUAAAUAUUAAAAACAAAAUGAUACUUUUAAUAUGAGACUGAAACAGCCAAAGUUCAAAAGAUUUGAACUUUGGCUGAAAGAACGGUGGAUUCUUUCAGAAAUGAAGCAAGUGAAUGGGUCAUUCAUUGAAUUAUUCACUCAAUCUACUUGUUCAAAAACAUAGGUUCUUUCAAUAACAAAACACUGCUGUUGCUCAGAGACAUUAUUUUGCCAACAAAAAGAACCACAGCAGAAUCAGAGCAAAAACAGACAAAUUUGUGUCUAAAAUGUAACUUAAUAUUAACAUCUUGUUCAUUAAACUGUUUUCACAUUUGCAAUAGUGCUGAUAUUCAGGAACAUUUGAUCUUGCUUAACUAUAUCAUAUGGUACAACUAUGCAAGACAAAAAUGGGCAUUUAUUACCACCAUGUCUUGAUUUUAACUGCAUUAUAAUAUGUUACAUUACACAGUAAUAGCAUGCACUCUAAAUGCACAUCUGCAUUUGUUAUUCACACAGCUGUUUUGUCCAAAGUGGUAGGCUCCGCCCUGCCUUCGUCUUCGGCAGGAUUAGCUGGUAUCUACAAACUUCAGAUCCAUGCUACGGAUGGGGCCUACGCCAAAAUAAUUAUAUUUUUUGUGUGUUGUUGUAAAUAAAUACUUCAGUCUUAUCUCUACCUCCUGAGUCUUUCUGGUAGAACUUUUUUUUAUGCCCAAACAGCAACAUUACAAACUAACUAAAGUUAAAAAAGCAUAAUAGGACCCCUUUAACACUCUGUAGAUUGAGACAAUAUGUACUCUGAGCAGAGCUGAUUUAACUCUGGGGAUUUUGCUGUGUAGUGUAGGAAAUGGCAGAAUUGAUAUAAUUGAAUUUUCAUUUUCAUUUUGCACUAAAUGUUGCACAUAUGUAUGGGAAAAUAUAAAUUUAAAUACAGAAAUACAUAGCCAUUUUUCUAUUUUGCUUUGUUAUUUUGCAUAUUACAUUUCAAAAUGAAUUUUGCUACCCAUAUGCUUCCAUUGAUCAUUUCCUUGCUCUUGACUACCUUAAGUAUAUUCAGAAAAAUCUAGGGCUGUAUUCACAAAACAUUCUUAAGAAUAAUAUUGUUUUUAACAGUUGUUUCUUCUUGUUUUUUAACUUAAUAACAAUGCUAAGAAUAUUUCAGUAACACUAUACUUAAAGCCUUAAUGUAUGUAUAAUGCAUUAUAAAGGUAUUCAUAAUGAAAUGUCAACCCUCUAUGGACACCUUGGCAAUUGAAUCGCCAUUGGCUAGUUCAGUUUUUAGUUUACUCGCCAGACUAUAUAAUAAAUGUUUUUAAAAUGGCACAGUUUUUUAAAUAUCUGAAAGUGCACUCUUAACAUCAGUCAGUCAAGCAUUAUAAUAUGAUAAUCAAGUAUUAUUUAAUGAUAGAACUCUAGUAAUUAGAAUUGAUAACCGUGUAUGAAUGCAGUUUUUUGGUCAUUCAGUGUUUCUGUAAAAAAAAAAAAAAAAAAAAUUGGGAACAACAAAAAUACUGAUAAAAUGAUAUGAAUUCUACUAAUAAGAACAAUAUGAAAUGCACUAAGGAUUAAUGAGCUGCUGGAUUCAUGAAUAUUAAUCAGGUUGUGUGCGUUCGCUCAAACUUAUUUGCUGAAAUCAAAACAGGGAUGAUAAUAAUUGAGCACCAGCUAAUGAGAUUGCCGUUUGUGCAUUAAUUCCGCCCACUACCGGAGAAAGCGGCAGUUUAUAAAAGCUGAAGAAUUCCAAAGGCACACUGUAAUUUUGACAUGAAAAUACAACAAAGAAUAUUGUUUACAUGUAGCGCGUCAGUUCUCUCUCUCUCUGCGUGUGUGUGAGACAAUGUGACAGCAAGUCAUGUGUCUUCACACUAGAGUUUACGGUACGUCAAAUAAGGUGCGCUGCGCAUCCGUUCAGAUAAACUGAAAAAUAGCCCAGAUCUCUUGACGGAGAGUGAAACUCUGAAGCGCUCAGUUAGAGAGUGUUCCUCGAGUGAAAACAUAUCUCUGCUAAACUUAUACUUAGCCUCCAACUCACACACUGGUGAGUAAAAUCUGAGAAUUUAUUAGCCAUUGGCUAAUAUUAGACAUCAUUUAGUCGCCCAGAGUGAAGAUUUAGUCGCAUAUGCGAGUGAUUUACUUGCAAUCUAGAGGGUUGAAUGUAAGCUCAUAAAUAAUUGUAAGUUAAAAUAAGUUAAAAUGCAUUUUAAUAUUUAAAGGUUUGUUUAUGUGUUUUGAUGCAUUAUUUGUUCUAAAGGUGCAAUAAUGAAUAGAUAUGUAUCAUAACUGUGGUUACAGUUAUUCAUUUGAUCAGUCAGUGCAUUAUAAGUAGCAUUACAAGACAUAAUUAAUGCAUUAAAACUGCUUUUCUAAUGCAUUAUAUAAAAAGGUUUUAAGUGUUACCAAUAUUUCUUAAGAAAGUUCUACAAAACGUAAGUUGAAAAUUCCUGAAAUGUUUCCAAAAAUUCUUGUAAAGUCAUAAAUCCUUCUUAAAUUAGUAAACCAAAGGUAAGAUGAAUUUACUGUUACUUAGGAAAUAGUUAAUAUAUCAGUGCUUACACUUUCUGCUAAUAAACAUAUCCAUAAUUACAGAAGAAAUACAAGAAGACAUUUCUUAGCCAAUUUGAUUAGUUUUGAAUCAAAAAGGUUGAGAAUGUGACAAAGAUGGAGUGCAUCUUUUUCAUCAAACAUCAAUCUUAAACUACUGUAUUUAACAUACAGGCAUUAGAAAAUGUGAGUGCUGAACUCUGCUCAAGUUAGAUGUAAAGAAAAUUGUGUGUGCUUGCUAACUAUGAUUAUGCCUGUAAUCUUCAGACAAAGUCAACAUUUAAGUCUUUAGCAAGAACUGCCAUACAAUUGGAAAACCAAAGUCUGCCAUUUUCUUCUUAGGAAAUAAUAUAUGUUCUUAGGAAAAUAUUUGAGAACUU
ensembl:lncRNA